UGCGCGCACCCGCCGCCGACGCCGCGGCGCUCUCCGGAGCCGGGCAGCGUGCGCGCUCCCGUCGCCGGCGCGCUGAAGCGUGGGAAGGUGCCGCGGUGACCUGGCUCUGCGGCCGGGGCGCGUAGAGUUCUCAGGUUUGGCCUCAGAUAAAUUCUUCCAAGGUCUAGACCAAGAGUGAGGAGCAGACAAGCCCAACCGAUGUGAACACCAAGCCUGGUUGUCCAGUGUCAUCUUCGCUGGGAAUUAAGAAACAACUAAAAUAUCCUCCAAAGGGUGGUGGUCAAACCGCGUGUGGCGCGUCUACACCCCGGAUGUGACUCAGCAGCGAUGAAAGAAGCCACUGACUCACAGGGCACCGGUGCUCUCGGGAUGAUGCUGGAUGGAAAGGCCACUCCCAGAGAUCACAUGCAUAAAGGAUGAUUCCGUCUGUUUGGCAAAAUGACAAAAUCGUGGAGCCAGACAGAGACUAGUGCUGGUCACAUGAAUCCACGUGGGAUAAGAUGACACAGAGCCAUGAGCACACAGCACACCAGUGUCAGCAGCCUCUUGGUUUGGCCAUUGUCCUGUAAUUAGCCAAGGCUCUAAGCAGCAGUGAGCCUGAAGGAAAAUCCAGAAACACGCAGGCCUUGUUCAGAGCUCUCCGUGUGCAGCCAGACCCCACAGCAGUCAGCUGUAACUCCAACAAGAUCUAAGCAGGUGAGUCCUCCAGCUACCAGAAAUGUCUGCAACAGCACGCAAUGAGUGUUUGCAAGGGAUGGAAAGAACCAGGCUGGGUGUCUGGUCUAGCGGGCUUUAUUAUUCAGGUGUGGUGAGGCCAACAGACCAGGAGAAAACCAUCAAGUGAAAAGAUAGUGUACUAGAUCCCAAGAGGAGGGGGCUCAACACGCCAUGGGGGCCCCAUGAGAAGCACUAAAGCAAAUCAAGAGGUGUGGGGUGGGUGGGGGUGAGAGCUUUUACUGUGGUUUCUGCAGGAAGGAGUGGGCAAGGCAGGGUGCAUAGGCUUAGGAUCGGCUGGUUUGAGUGACAUAGGUGGGCUCUGAGAGGUAGGAGCUGCCCCCAGUUGUUGGGACCUUGCUCUGGGGUGGUUAGGGUAGGUGGGUGGUGGCCCAGAGUGUGAGGGCCCAGUAGAGCAGGUGAUAGGGGUAUGGGCUCCACACUGGUUGGUUUGCAUUUGUGAAAUGCGCUCACAGGUGGGCAAGUGUUCACUGUCGAUGAGGAGUGGCUAACCCUGGGAGGGCAGUCCUCCAGGGUCACGAGGCCCCAGAUGUCAAAGUAUCAGAACACAGAGGAUAAAAGAUACGGUUAAUACAGAGAACUGAGGCCUCUGGCCAACAACCAGAAGAGGGUGGCAUCUUGGAAAUGGCCCCUCCAGCCACGGUUGAGCCUUCAGAUGAGAACCAUCUUGACUGCAAGCUCCUACGAGACCCUGAGGGAGAACCACCAGGCUAAGCCAUUCCCACAUUUCUGACUCGCAGACACCGAGAUACUAAAUGUUCAUCGUUUGAAGUCACUAGAUGUUGGGGUAAUUUGCCAGGCAGCAAUACGGCACUGGUACAGAUCUGGUCUGUGCAGCGUGAACAAGGCCAGGAUCAUGGGUCUGGCACCAGGCAGAGCUGUCAAGCUGGAUCCUAGCACUGCCAUUUACGGUACUCAGACCCUGAUACACAAGCUCUCCAGAGAAGAUUCCAGAGCCAAUUUCUAGUCAGUUCCAGAGGUUUCCAGAUGGAGGUGCUGGUGGGGCUGGAGGGCUGUGUGUCUGUGUCUGCUCUGCUACAAAGACAUUCACCUGGUUUGAAUUUUCUUAAAUGUUUAUUCUUGAGAGAGAGAGAGAGAGAACAAGCAGGGGAGGGGCAGAGAGAGAGGGAGACACAGAAUCUGAAGCAGGCUCUAGGCUCUGAGCUGUCAGCACAGAGCCUGACACGGGGCUCGAACUCACGAGCUGUGAGAUCAUGACCUGAGCCGAAGUCGGACGCUCAACUGACUGAGCCACCCAGGCGCCCCUGGUCUGAAGGCCAGCGACUGAGAAGGGGCCGUGGUGCCCACGGUGCCCUCUCAACCCAGGGGCUAAGUGAGAUGUAGCCACACCUCCAGGCCUGCGCAGGGCCCGGGGCCACCUUGGAGUCACGCGGGCACCCAAGGCCUGAAGCCUUUUCUUUCAUGGGAGUCAUUUUCAGAACUGCCCCACUCCCCCUCCACCCCCACUGGUCACAGCGGGGUCUGACAAAGGAGCAGUGGUGUGUUCGUGAACCCUCAUCUGUCACACUCAUGAAGCCACCCGAGGUCCCCGUGCCUGGCUGGGAGCAGGCACGCGGAGAGAGAGUGCGACGCGAUGGGUUGGACCUACUGUAGCUUUUUAAAGUUCUACAGAAAAGACCACGUGGACAAGUCACGGUCACGGUUCGAACCACGCACCAAGCGCCCACACGCGCUGAGCGCUCAGGUUGCCGCGGGCACUCCGUCACCCCCUCUCUGUCACUGUCUUCUCAGACACUCAAGAGUAGUUGGGGGGUUUCUUCCUGGCUCAGAAUCCAGGUGAGGAACAGACAGACAUCCCAUCGAGCUGCCGUGAAUCUUCAGUCUCAUUUUAUCACAAAGGCCGUUUUGAAAAGACGGAUCGGACAGCCGGCCAGAGUGCGGGAGGCCCUUCCAGAACCGCCGCGCGUGCCCGCCCGCGUGGUCUUUCCAGUCGCCUCACCUCCCCCACCCCCGUGCCGGACGCUGUUUGCUCACAAGUUGAGACGUGGCUGCGUGUGCCUCGUGUUGAUGUGCUUUUUCCCUUCAAGUAGUGUCAGGGUCUAGAAGAAAAACUGUACCUUUCUCCCGUGAUAGUCUGUGUCCAGCACGAGCAGGGAAAGAAGCCGACGGCCGAGUGAAGGAGUCCUUCCUCCGGCCGUGGAAGAAGCAGCGCCCGCCUCCGUUCCCCACCCCCCGGAGGCUUUGGGGACCGCGAAGAAAACGCUUUUCGUCGUUCAGCGGUGGUUCUGCGCUUGGGGGGAGAAGAUGUCCUAGAAGCCCCGUUCGAACCUGGCACCUCCCGGUUCCCGGGGCCUCGCCCAGAAAGGUGCCUCCGCCGCGACCGGCCUUGCUCCCACUGUUGGGCGGAUCCGGCGUGACUUCCCACCCGCUCCCUCUCUGCUCGAGUCAGACCUCCGCGGGGCCACCGGCAGGUGCGCCGUCCAUCCCGCGGUUCUCCCCCAUCGGCCCCUCGAGCCCCGUUUUGUGCCUGUCCUGGGGCGCGUGAGGUCGUCUGCCACAGAGCCUGGGGACUGUGGGUUCUCCUCAGCGGUGCCCUCUUUCAGGUGCACGGAGCCUCCCCCACCUCUGCAUCCCUGAAAAAUGUAGGAAAUGCUCUUGACCGGUUCACGAAGUAAGCCAGGUCCUGCUCGAGGGAGCGACACGUUCCCAGCCAGCAGACAACCGGAGCCGGAGCCGAGUGUCCUUCCCAACAAGGGAUUCUAUCAGAAGUUCCUCCUGCCCCGACAACCUCAUUUAAAAGCAAGACAAACCUUAGCUACAAGCUAUUGAAUGUCACAGCACGACGCCUUUCAAGUUUGAGGGAGCCUUUGUAUCCUUGUGUUACGAACAGAAGUUAAUGCAGACCACUCCGCCUUCCAAAAAAUCUCUUCUCUCCUUCAGGACUUUGCCUCCAGGCAGGAGCUGGGGGCUGGCUAGUGGACUAAACCUAACCUGGUUCUGUACUCGUGAGUUUUUCUAACAGUGGUAAAAUACCCACAACAUGAAAUUCACCAUUUUAACCAUUUUAUUUAUUUUAUUUUUUAAACACUGAUUUACUUAAGUGAUCUCUGCACCCGACGUGGGGCUCGAACUCAGGACCCCGAGAUCAAGGGUUGCUCGCCCUUCCGACUAAGCCAGCCAAGCGCCUUCCCCUUCAUUGUAACCAUUUUAAAGUGCGCAGUUCUGUGGCAUUAAGUACAUCCACACUGACGUGGAUCACAGCCAUCACUACCACACAUCUCCAGAACGUUCCAUCUUCCUAAACUGAAACUCUGUCCCCGUGAAACACUGACUCCCAUCCCCUCCCACCCCCCGGUGCUCCCUCUCUACUCCGCUGCUACAAAUCUGACAGCUCCAGGACCUCAUGCAAGUGGGAUCGUGCAAUAUUUGUCCUCUGUGACUGUUGUAUUUCACUCAGCAUAACGUCCUCAGGGUUCACCUACGGCGUCACAGGUAUCAAGAUUUUUUUUUUUUUUUUAGUUUUGAAAAUUUGUUUUAAUGUUUAUUUCUUAGAGAGAGAGAGACAGAGCAUGAGCACAGGAGGGGCAGAGGGAGAGGAAGACACAGAAUCGGAAGCAGGCUCCAGGCUCCAAGCUGUCAGCACAGAGCCGGACACAGGGCUCGAACUCCCAAACCUGGAGAUCAUGACCUGAGCCGAAGUCAGACACCCAACCGACUGGGCCACCCAGGCGCCCUCGGAUUUCCUUCGUUUUUAAGGCUGGUCAUUUUCCAGCGUAUGGAUGUAUCCCAUUUAGUUCAUCCACUCUUCUGUUGGUGGACGCUGGGUUGCUUCCCUUUUUAGCCGUUGUGCAUUUAGCUCCUCUGCCUUCCGGUUGUUGUACUCGAUGC